GCUAAAUUUAAUAUUGAAAUUUUUCAGGCUAAGGCAUAUAGCCAAUAGCAAGCUGUCCUUUAUGGAAACACUUUAGGCUAUGGCAUAUAGCCAUAGCGAGCUGUCCUUUAUGGAAACAGUACUGUACUUAAAAUGUUUUAAUUGAAAUAUAACUGAAAUUAUUUAGGCUAUGGCAUAUAGCCAUAGCAAGCUGUCCUUUAUGGAAAUAGUACUUAAAAUGUUUUAAUUGAAAUAUAACUGAAAUUAUUUAGGCUAAGGCAUAUAGCCAUAGCGAGCUGUCCUUUAUGGAAAGUACUUAAAAUGUUUUAAUUGAAAUUUUACUGAAAUUAUUUAGGCUAAGGCAUAUAGCCAUAGCAAGCUGUCCUUUAUGGAAAGUACUUAAAAUGUUUUAAUUGAAAUAUAACUGAAAUUAUUUAGGUUAUGGCAUAUAGCCAUAGCAAGCUGUCCUUUGUGGAAUGUACCUAAAAUAUUUUAAUUGAAAUAUAACUGCAAUUAUUUAGGCUAAGGCAUAUAGCCAUAGGAAGCUGGGCCUUAUUGGAAAGUACUUAAAAUAUUUUAAUUGAAAUAGAACUGAAAUUAUUUAGGCUAAGGCAUAUAGCUAUAGCGAGCUGGGCCUUUAUAGAAACAGCACUGAAAUAAUAUCACAACUUUAUUAGAGAUUCCAAGAUACCUGCAACACUUCAAACCAUUCAACACAAACAGUACACCCAUUUAUUCCCGGAGCCAAUGACAUAUAGUUGGGCUCUAUAUAGUUGAAAGCAAUAGCUUUCAAAUCUCAAAAUUUUCAAAAAAUUCUCACAGGUAAAAUGGUAGCAUGUAAAAUGGAGUCUAUAAUUAUUAUUCAGAAGGCAUGCAGUUGAGUGGGGACUCUCAACUCCUUCCAACAUUAAAAGUCAUGAGUCAUGAUAUUUAUGAACAUAAAAUAAAAUAGGGGAAAUAAAAACAAAAAUGUGCAGGUUAAAAAUACUUGACUGCCUAUCGCAGUAAGGGCUGCAGAUUUGCCAGCGACUCACAUUAUCA
rnacentral:lncRNA from 1 species